GACGAACGCUGGCGGCGUGCUUAACACAUGCAAGUCGAGCGGUAAAGCCCUUUCGGGGGGUACACGAGCGGCGAACGGGUGAGUAACACGUGGGUGACCUGCCCUCAGCUCUGGGAUAAGCCUGGGAAACUGGGUCUAAUACCGGAUAUGACCCUAUGGCGCAUGUUGUGGGGUGGAAAGCCUUGUGCGGCUAGGGAUGGGCCCGCGGCCUAUCAGCUUGUUGGUGGGGUGAUGGCCACCAAGGCGACGACGGGUAGCCGGCCUGAGAGGGCGACCGGCCACACUGGGACUGAGACACGGCCCAGACUCCUACGGGAGGCAGCAGUGGGGAAUCUUGCGCAAUGGGCGAAAGCCUGACGCAGCGACGCCGCGUGAGGGAUGACGGCCUGUGU
rnacentral:rRNA from 1 species